rnacentral:rRNA from 3 species
UACGAAGGUCCCAAGCGUUGUUCGGAAUCACUGGGCGUAAAGGGUGCGUAGGCGGUUUGGUAAGUCAGAUGUGAAAUCCCGGGGCUCAACCCCGGAACUGCAUCCGAUACUGCCAGACUAGAGGACUGGAGAGGUGACUGGAAUUCUCGGUGUAGCAGUGAAAUGCGUAGAGAUCGAGAGGAACACUCGUGGCGAAGGCGAGUCACUGGACAGUAUCUGACGCUGAGGCACGAAGGCCAGGGUAGCGAAAGGG